rnacentral:rRNA from 1 species
AUUGAACGCUGGCGGCAUGCUUUACACAUGCAAGUCGAACGGUAACAGGCCGCAAGGCGCUGACGAGUGGCGAACGGGUGAGUAAUGCAUCGGAACGUGCCCAGUCGUGGGGGAUAACGCAGCGAAAGCUGCGCCAAUACCGCAUACGAUCUAUGGAUGAAAGCGGGGGACCGUAAGGCCUCGCGCGACUGGAGCGGCCGAUGUCAGAUUAGGUAGUUGGUGGGGUAAAGGCUCACCAAGCCAACGAUCUGUAGCUGGUCUGAGAGGACGACCAGCCACACUGGGACUGAGACACGGCCCAGACUCCUACGGGAGGCAGCAGUGGGGAAUUUUGGACAAUGGGCGCAAGCCUGGUCCAGCAAUGCCGCGUGCAGGAAGAAGGCCUUCGGGUUGUAAACUGCUUUUGUACGGAACGAAACGGUCCUGGUUAAUACCUGGGGCUAAUGACGGUACCGUAAGAAUAAGCACCGGCUAACUACGUGCCAGCAGCCGCCGUAACAC